rnacentral:rRNA from 1 species
GAUGAACGCUGACAGAAUGCUUAACACAUGCAAGUCAACUUGAACUUCGGUUUGGGUGGCGGACGGGUGAGUAACGCGUAAAGAACUUGCCUCACAGCUAGGGACAACAUUUGGAAACGAAUGCUAAUACCUGAUAUUAUGAUUAUAUGGCAUCGUAUAAUUAUGGAAGCUAUAUGCGCUGUGAGAGAGCUUUGCGUCCCAUUAGCUAGUUGGAGAGGUAACAGCUCACCAAGGCGAUGAUGGGUAGCCGGCCUGAGAGGGUGAUCGGCCACAAGGGGACUGAGACACGGCCCUUACUCCUACGGGAGGCAGCAGUGGGGAAUAUUGGACAAUGGACCGAGAGUCUGAUCCAGCAAUUCUGUGUGCACGAUGAAGUUUUUCGGAAUGUAAAGUGCUUUCAGUUGGGAAGAAAAAAAUGACGGUACCAACAGAAGAAGUGACGGCUAAAUACGUG